CCCGACUGCUAUUUGGGUGAGAAUAAGCCAUGCGAGUUGAAUGGGAUACCUAAAGUUCCCAUAGCAAACUGCUCAGUAACACAUGAUCAACUUACCCUAUAGAGAAAAAUAACCUCGGGAAACUGAGGAUAAUAUUUCAUAAUUGAAUUGGCUUGGAAAAGUUUUUCAAUGAAAGGGAUAAAAAAAAUGGUUUUUAUCCGCUAUAGGAUAGGAUCGUGUUCGAUUGUGGUUGUUGGUGAGAUAAUGGCUCACCAAGCCGAUAAUCGAUAGGGGCCGUGAGAGCGGGAGCCCCGAGAUGGGUACUGAGACAACGACCCAGGCCUUACGAGGCGCAGCAGGCGCGGAACCUCCGCAAUACACGAAAGUGUGACGGGGUUACCCAAAGUGUUCAAUAGAACUGUGGUAGGUGAGUAAUGUCCCCUACUAGAAAGGAGAGGGCAAGGCUGGUGCCAGCCGCCGCGGUAAAACCAGCUCUUCAAGUGGUCGGGAUAAUUAUUGGGCUUAAAGUGUCCGUAGCCGGUUUGGUAAGUUCCCGGUUAAAUCUGGCAGCUUAACUGUCAGUCAGCUAGGAAUACUACUUUACUAGGGGGUGGGAAAGGUUUGAGGUACUCCAGGGGUAGCGGUGAAAUGCGAUAAUCCUUGGGGGACCACCAGUGGCGAAGGCGUCAGACUGGAACACGCCUGACGGUGAGGGACGAAAGCCAGGGGAGCGAACCGGAUUAGAUACCCGGGUAGUCCUGGCCGUAAACGAUGCAUACUAGGUGAUGGCACGGCCAUGAGCCGUGUCAGUGCCGUAGGGAAACCGUUAAGUGUGCCGCCUGGGAAGUACGGUCGCAAGGCUAAAACUUAA
rnacentral:rRNA from 1 species